GUGGGUGGGUGCAGGUGGCGGUCCCGGAGGCGGCCCCGUGAGGGCUGAGCUGCCGCUCCCUGGAACCGAGCGGGGUGGGCUCGGUCCCACGCGUACCAUGGCCGAGUGCCUAGGCCUGUCUCUGAGCGCGGGCCUAGCGUGGAUGGGAUGGGCGCUACACAGCUCCAAGUUACGCGAUUCAAACUCUUGGAAUAAACCCAGGGCAGCCCUGGGGCUGUGUUGAUUCCCUGUCUCGCUCCCUCCCAGCAUUUACAGAAAAGACGCAUUUAUAGGAAAGACGUACGGGCAGGUCCAGCAGAGCCCUUACAAGCAUUUCAGCCUUUUAGAAAUCAGGUUUAUUGCACGUCUGACAUGGAUGGACCCAGCUAGAUGUCUUGCCAACGGCUCCUGUGGCCCCACCCAGAAGCCAUGCAGCACAAAAGGACCAAAAGGACAGCUAGAUUUCAUCUCGCACCCAACCAAUCAGCACUCCCCAUACCUUAGCCCCCUGCUCACCAAACUACCUUUGAAAAACCCCUAACCUGUGAGCCUUCAGUUGUUACCGAGCAGCUUAGCAGCUGUGAAUCCAAAAUAUCUGACACAGGUCUCCAUCAGUUUAGAAAGUUUAUUUUGUCAAAGUUAAGGAUGAGCCCAUGACACGGCCUCAGGGGGUCCUGACAACACGUGCCCGAGGUGACUGGGGCACAGCUUGCUUUCAGACAUUUUUAGGGAGACAUGAGACAUCAAUCAAUAUGUGCAAGAUGGAAAAAGAAGAGAAAAAGAAAAAAA